GAAAUGCGAUACGUAGUGUGAAUUGCAGAAUUCAGUGAAUCAUCGAAUCUUUGAACGCAUAUUGCGCCCUUUGGUAUUCCAAAGGGCAUGCCUGUUCGAGCGUCAUUUGUACCCUCAAGCUUUGCUUGGUGUUGGGCGUCUUUUUGUCUCUCCCCUUGUUGGGGGAGACUCGCCUUAAAACGAUUGGCAGCCGACCUACUGGUUUUCGGAGCGCAGCACAAAUUUGCGCCUUCCAAUCCACGGGGCGGCAUCCAGCAAGCCUUUGUUUUCUAUAACAAAUCCACAUUUUGACCUCGGAUCAGGUAGGGAUACCCGCUGAACUUAAGC
rnacentral:misc_RNA from 1 species